CAGAUUGAACGCUGGCGGCAUGGCUAAAACAUGCAAGUCGAACGACUAGCAAUAGAAGUGGCGAAAGGGCGAGGAAUAGAUUCCCACGUACCCCGAGGCCAGGGAUACCUCAGAGAAAUCUGAGACAAUACCUGAUGACAUCGGAAACGAUCAAAGGUUUACCACCUUGGGAGCGGGGAAUCUCCUAUCAGCUAGUUGGUGAGGUAAUGGCUCACCAAGGCGAAGACGGGUAGCGGGUGUGAGAGCACGGCCCGCCGCAUCGAGACUGAGACACUGCUCGGACUCCUACGGGAGGCUGCAGUAACGAAUCUUCCGCAAUGCACGAAAGUGUGACGGGGCAAUGCCGCGUGUGGGAUGAAGCCCUUCGGGGUGUAAACUACUGUCAGGGACUACCAACAACAUGAGGAGUCCCAAAGGAAGAGCCGGCUAACUCUGUGCCAGCAGCCGCGGUAAUACAGAGGGCUCGAGCGUUAAUCGGAAUCACUGGGCUUAAAGCGUGCGUAGGCGGAUUUGAAGGCGCUUUGUGAAAUCCCUCGGCUCAACCGAGGAACUGCUUGGCGAACCACAAAUCUUGAGGCUGGUAGAGGUGGUCGGAACAAUAGGUGGAGCGGUGAAAUGCGUAGAUAUCUAUUGGAACACCGAAGGUGAAGACGGCCCACUGGGCCAGUCCUGACGNUGAGGCACGAAAGCGUGGGUAGCAAACGGGAUUAGAUACCCCGGUAGUCCACGCCGUAAACGAUGCGCACUUGGUCGAGGGGGUUGAACGCCUUCUCGNCCGUAGGAAAACUGAUUAGUGCGCCGCCUGGGGAGUACGGUCGCAAGAUUAAAACUCAAAGGAAUUGACGGGGGCUCACACAAGCGGUGGAGCAUGUGGCUUAAUUCGAAGCAACGCGAAGAACCUUAUCCUAGGCUUGACAUGCACGUUAACUUGAAAGGGAGAACACUCGAGUGGGGCACAGGUGCUGCAUGGCUGUCGUCAGCUCGUGCUGUGAAGUGUCGGGUUAAGUCCCUCAGCGAGCGCAACCCCUGUCACUAGUUGCAAACAGGUAAUGCUGUGGACUCUAGUGAGACUGCCGGUGUCAAACCGGAGGAAGGUGGGGAUGACGUCAAGUCCUCAUGGCCCUUAUGCCUAGGGCUGCACACGUGCUACAAUGGCACCGACAGAACGAUCCGAGACCGCAAGGUGGAGGAAAUCGCUCAAAAGGUGCCCCAGUUCGGAUUGGAGGCUGCAACUCGCCUCCAUGAAGUUGGAAUCGCUAGUAAUCGCGGAUCAGCUACGCCGCGGUGAAUAUGUUCCUGAGCCUUGUACACACCGCCCGUCAAGUCAUGGAAGCCGGUAGCGCCCGAAGUCGCCUCAUUUCAGGGGUGCCCACGGCGAGGCUGGUGACUGGG
rnacentral:rRNA from 1 species